GACGUAGGGGACGAGCGUUGUCCGGAUUCAUUGGGCGUAAAGCGUGCGUAGGUGGUGAGUUAAGUCUGUCGUGAAAGCCCCGGGCUCAACCUGGGAAUGGCGAUGGAUACUGGCUCGCUAGAGUGCGGUAGAGGAGAGUGGAAUUCCCGGUGUAGCAGUGAAAUGCGUAGAGAUUGGGAGGAACAUCAGUUGCGAAGGCGGCUCUCUGGACCAGCACUGACACUGAGGCACGAAAGCGUGGGGAGCAAACAGG
rnacentral:rRNA from 1 species